rnacentral:rRNA from 1 species
AACGAACGCUGGCGGCAGGCCUAACACAUGCAAGUCGAGCGAGGACUUCGGUCCUAGCGGCGGACGGGUGAGUAACGCGUGGGAACGUGCCCUUUGCUUCGGAAUAGCCCUGGGAAACUGGGAGUAAUACCGGAUGAGCCCUUUGGGGGAAAGAUUUAUCGGCGUAGGAUCGGCCCGCGUUGGAUUAGGUAGUUGGUGGGGUAAUGGCCUACCAAGCCGACGAUCCAUAGCUGGUUUGAGAGGAUGAUCAGCCACACUGGGACUGAGACACGGCCCAGACUCCUACGGGAUGCAGCAGUGGGGAAUCCUAGACAAUGGGGGAAACCCUGAUCGAGCCAUGCCGCGUGAGCGAUGAAGGCCUUAGGGUUGUAAAGCUCUUUCAGCUGGGAAGAUAAUGACGGUACCAGCAGAAGAAGCCCCGGCUAACACCGUG